AUGUACCUACAAUUUUCCAUCUCAGGUGCCAGAAGUGACACUCAGAUGACCCAGUCUCCUGCCUCCUUGUCUGCAUCACUGGGAGACAGUGUCACCAUCAAUUGCCGGGCAAGUCAGGACGUUUACAGUAAUUUAGCAUGGUAUCAGCAGGAAGCAGGGAAAUCUCCUCAGCUCCUGAUCUAUGAUGCAAACAGCUUGAAAGAUGGGGUUCCAUCGAGGUUCAGCAGCAGUGGAUCUGGCACACAGUAUUCUCUCAAAAUCAGCAGCCUCCAGCAUGAAGAUAUGGCAACUUAUUACUGUCUACAGUACGAUAACUAUCCUCCCACAGCGAUUCAAGUCAUAACAUAA